UUAGCAUCGGUUGCCAUUCUCCAGCAGCGACAUUCUUCAGUAGCAAAUCAUCAGUUGGGGCAUCCGGAUUUGGAGGUAUUCUUGCUGGGGUGAAUGCAUCCGAUUUAUUAUCCAUACAUUGAGGACUCUGAUUACGAGACGGUAGUUUCUGACGUGAGGAUUGUUUGGCACGAUCUACGUAUAAAGGCGGGUAUUUCUUGCUCUAUCUCUUUAGUAUGUUGACCCUAGUGCAUGAGCUUUAUAUUCAGAUAGAUACUGUGUUUAUCUUGACUCCACUCUUAUUCUUCCUGCGUUUGAUACUUCCACUCAAUCUUUGAGCUACUCGUUUCUGUAUCUAUACAGUCUC